UAGGGAAUCUUCGGCAAUGGACGAAAGUCUGACCGAGCAACGCCGCGUGAGUGAAGAAGGUUUUCGGAUCGUAAAACUCUGUUGUUAGAGAAGAACAAGGACGUUAGUAACUGAACGUCCCCUGACGGUAUCUAACCAGAAAGCCACGGCUAACUACGUGCCAGCAGCCGAGGUAAUACGUAGGUGGCAAGCGUUGUCCGGAUUUAGUGGGCGUAAAGCGAGCGCAGGCGGUUUCUUACGUCUGAUGUGAAAGCCCCCGGCUCAACCGGUUGAGUUCUCUUGAUACUGAGAGACUUCAGUGCAGAAGAGGAGGGUGGAAUUCCAUGUGUAGCGGCGAAAUGCGUAGCUAUAUGGAGGAACACCAGUGGCGAAGGCGGCUCUCUAGUCUGUAACUGACGCUGUGGCUCGAAAGCGUCGUGAGCAAACAGG
rnacentral:rRNA from 1 species